UGUACAAAUGCAUUUGUAGGGACAAGCUAUUGCUCAGCUCUGCUCAACGGUUCCCAAUGUUACUGUCUUUGGAACGGCUUCUUCUUUCAAGCAUGAGGCCAUUAAAGAGUCUGUGACCUACCUGUUUGACCGAAAUAUGGAUUAUGUCCAAGAAGUUAAAAAAAUCUCUGCAGAUGGUGUAGAUAUUGUCCUGGAUUGCCUUUGCGGUGAAAAUACUGGUAAAGGCCUCAGUCUACUCAAACCACUUGGGACUUACAUUUUAUAUGGUUCAUCAAACAUGGUUACUGGGGAAACCAAAAGUUUCUUUAGCUUUGCAAAAUCAGUAAGUAUAAGGCCCUUCCGGCUUUGUUAGAGCUUAUUUGUAUGUGCUGUGCUCCGAGUCUCUCUUCUUU